GGAUGCACUAAUAUCUGUGGUGUCUGCUCGAAAGGAAACAAAGUAACCGUUCAAUCGGUUCAGGGAUUAAGCGAUGAAUCAUCUGCACGACUUAUAGCCCAUGAACUGGGUCACCAAGUGGGAAUGAAACACGAAGGAGAACAUGGUGGAAAUCAUGGUCUUGACUGCGGCCUGGGUUCAGGAUAUGUGAUGGCCCCAAGCAUAAAUAUGCCAGGACGCUCUGCAUUUUCUCACUGUGCCCAUAACGAGAUGAAGGACUGCUUAAUGGCGAAAGACCAAAGGUGCCUUGCACUGACGGCAAAAAGACCAUCCUAGAAGAAAUAUCAAAGAAAGUCCACACGGAACAUCUUCAAUUACCUGUAGCUUGCACUAGAAAAAAAAUCUACAAUUCUUUUAGGCAC